rnacentral:rRNA from 1 species
AACGAACGCUGGCGGCAUGCCUAACACGUGCAAGUCGAACGAAGGCUUCGGCCUUAGUGGCGCACGGGUGCGUAACGCGUGGGAAUCUGCCCUUAGGUUCGGAAUAACAGUUGGAAACGACUGCUAAUACCGGAUGAUGACGAAAGUCCAAAGAUUUAUCGCCUGAGGAUGAGCCCGCGUAGGAUUAGCUAGUUGGUGUGGUAAGAGCGCACCAAGGCGACGAUCCUUAGCUGGUCUGAGAGGAUGAUCAGCCACACUGGGACUGAGACACGGCCCAGACUCCUACGGGAGGCAGCAGUGGGGAAUAUUGGACAAUGGGCGAAAGCCUGAUCCAGCAAUGCCGCGUGAGUGAUGAAGGCCUUAGGGUUGUAAAGCUCUUUUACCCGGGAUGAUAAUGACAGUACCGGGAGAAUAAGCUCCGGCUAACUCCGUGCCAGCCGCCGCCGUAAUAC